rnacentral:rRNA from 1 species
CCUGGCUCAGGACGAACGCUGGCGGCGCGCCUAACACAUGCAAGUCGAACGAGAGAUGAGGAGCUUGCUCUUCAAAUCGAGUGGCGAACGGGUGAGUAACGCGUGAGGAACCUGCCUCAAAGAGGGGGACAACAGUUGGAAACGACUGCUAAUACCGCAUAAGCCCACGGCUCGGCAUCGAGCAGAGGGAAAAGGAGCAAUCCGCUUUGAGAUGGCCUCGCGUCCGAUUAGCUAGUUGGUGAGGUAACGGCCCACCAAGGCGACGAUCGGUAGCCGGACUGAGAGGUUGAACGGCCACAUUGGGACUGAGACACGGCCCAGACUCCUACGGGAGGCAGCAGUGGGGAAUAUUGCACAAUGGGGGAAACCCUGAUGCAGCGACGCCGCGUGGAGGAAGAAGGUCUUCGGAUUGUAAACUCCUGUUGUUGAGGAAGAUAAUGACGGUACUCAACAAGGAAGUGACGGCUAACUACGUGCCAGCAGCCGCGGUAAAACGUAGGUCACAAGCGUUGUCCGGAAUUACUGGGUGUAAAGGGAGCGCAGGCGGGAGAACAAGUUGGAAGUGAAAUCCAUGGGCUCAACCCAUGAACUGCUUUCAAAACUGUUUUUCUUGAGUAGUGCAGAGGUAGGCGGAAUUCCCGGUGUAGCGGUGGAAUGCGUAGAUAUCGGGAGGAACACCAGUGGCGAAGGCGGCCUACUGGGCACCAACUGACGCUGAGGCUCGAAAGUGUGGGUAGCAAACAGGAUUAGAUACCCUGGUAGUCCACACCGUAAACGAUGAUUACUAGGUGUUGGAGGAUUGACCCCUUCAGUGCCGCAGUUAACACAAUAAGUAAUCCACCUGGGGAGUACGACCGCAAGGUUGAAACUCAAAGGAAUUGACGGGGGCCCGCACAAGCAGUGGAGUAUGUGGUUUAAUUCGACGCAACGCGAAGAACCUUACCAAGUCUUGACAUCCCUUGACGAUGCUGGAAACAGUAUUUCUCUUCGGAGCAAGGAGACAGGUGGUGCAUGGUUGUCGUCAGCUCGUGUCGUGAGAUGUUGGGUUAAGUCCCGCAACGAGCGUAACCCUUAUGGUCAGUUACUACGCAAGAGGACUCUGGCCAGACUGCCGUUGACAAAACGGAGGAAGGUGGGGAUGACGUCAAAUCAUCAUGCCCUUUAUGACUUGGGCUACACACGUACUACAAUGGCGUUAAACAAAGAGAAGCAAGACCGCGAGGUGGAGCAAAACUCAGAAACAACGUCCCAGUUCGGACUGCAGGCUGCAACUCGCCUGCACGAAGUCGGAAUUGCUAGUAAUCGUGGAUCAGCAUGCCACGGUGAAUACGUUCCCGGGCCUUGUACACACCGCCC